UACAGAGGGGGCAAGCGUUGUUCGGAAUUACUGGGCGUAAAGGGCGCGUAGGUGGCCUCCUAAGUUGAACGUGAAAUCCCUGGGCUCAACCCAGGAACUGCGUCCAAGACUGGGAGGCUUGAAUCCGGGAGAGGGAUGCGGAAUUCCAGGUGUAGCGGUGAAAUGCGUAGAUAUCUGGAGGAACACCGGUGGCGAAGGCGGCAUCCUGGACCGGUAUUGACACUGAGGCGCGAAAGCCAGGGGAGCAAACGGG
rnacentral:rRNA from 1 species